AUUGAACGCUGGCGGCAGGCCUAACACAUGCAAGUCGAGCGGUUGACGGGAGCUUGCUCCCUGAUUCAGCGGCGGACGGGUGAGUAAUGCCUAGGAAUCUGCCUAUUAGUGGGGGACAACGUUUCGAAAGGAACGCUAAUACCGCAUACGUCCUACGGGAGAAAGCAGGGGUCCUUCGGGCCUUGCGCUAAUAGAUGAGCCUAGGUCGGAUUAGCUAGUUGGUGAGGUAAUGGCUCACCAAGGCGACGAUCCGUAACUGGUCUGAGAGGAUGAUCAGUCACACUGGAACUGAGACACGGUCCAGACUCCUACGGGAGGCAGCAGUGGGGAAUAUUGGACAAUGGGCGAAAGCCUGAUCCAGCCAUGCCGCGUGUGUGAAGAAGGUCUUCGGAUUGUAAAGCACUUUAAGUUGGGAGGAAGGGUUGUAGAUUAAUACUCUGCAAUUUUGACGUUACCGACAGAAUAAGCACCGGCUAACUCUGUGCCAGCCGCCGCAGUAAGAC
rnacentral:rRNA from 1 species